AUACGGAGGGUGCAAGCGUUAUUCGGAAUCACUGGGCGUAAAGGACGCGUAGGCGGGUUGGCAAGUCAGAUGUGAAAGCCUACAGCUUAACUGUAGAACUGCAUUUGAAACUGCUAACCUAGAGUAUGGGAGGGGGAGAUGGAAUUAGUGGUGUAGGGGUAAAAUCCGUAGAUAUCACUAGGAAUACCGAAAGCGAAGGCGAUCUCCUGGAACAUAACUGACGCUAAGGCGUGAAAGCGUGGGGAGCAAACAGGAUUAGAUACCCUAGUAGUCC
rnacentral:rRNA from 1 species